rnacentral:lncRNA from 1 species
CAUUUGUGUCUUUGCGUUUCCUAUGCACAGUUUAUUGGUACCACUGCCAUCGACCAACAGAGUAUCUGAAAGUAAAAACAAGCAUCAGGAAGGAAAAAGUAUUAACAAAAGGAAGCUCAAAAAGAUGGCUUCAGGAGGGUGGGCAGCACACCUGGCGCCAGGCCAGCUGGGUCAGUAGAAGCAGACCGUGUGCAAGAAGGCUCUGCCGCUCUUCUCCUCAAACUCCUGAAGCAGCUCAUCAAUCUCGUUCUCCACGUCCUCCGUGUGCUGAAUGCACUGACACAGCUCACAGAUGAGGAAUGCCCCCAAGGCGACCUCUUCGUGGCUGUCCUGGAUGUCCACGUUGAUGACGUGCACCGGCUGGCAGGUCUCCUGCUCUUUGGAAUUCAGAUCUUCCAACACCUGAUCAUACGCUCUCUCUUCACACGUGAGGAUCAGAUCGAACAGAUGUGCCGAGGACUAAAAGGACCACAGAUGUAGCUCUACAUUGGAGGUUCUAGAAAUGCUACAAAAAAGAAAUCAUUUAUUUCGAGUGGAUGAAAAUAAGGAGAUAACAACUUAUCAGGUUUACUAUAAUUAUUAUUACAAAUAAUGCUCACUUUUAGUAACUAACAGAUUUUCUUCUGCUGCUGUUUCUCCCUAGAACAGAAACAUCAUAAAGACUAUAUUUUCUCCAUUUCUGUGUCAUUCCCUUGGGCUUCAAAUAUAACUAUAAAUUCUUUUUUUUUUUUUUAAGAUUUUACUUAUUUGUCAGAGAGAGAGAGAGCAAAGAGUGCAAGGUGUGGGGGAGGGAAGAAACAGA